rnacentral:lncRNA from 1 species
CUGCCCUUAUGAAUGGAUUAGUAUCAUUAUUGCAGGAGUGGCUUCAUGAUGGAGAGAGUGGAUUUGUCAUGAAAGUGAGUUCGGCCAUUCCUUGCUGUCUCACGUGCCACCUCUUGCCAUGGGAUGCCCUCGCCAUGGGAUGACAGCAAGAAGGCCCUUGCUUGAGUGAGCCCCUCCAUCUUCGGCUCUCCGGCCUCCAGGACUGUUAGAAAUACAUCUCUGUUCUUUGUAAAUUACCCAGGCUGUAGUACUCUGUUAUAGCAACACAAAACAGACUAAGACACUACUAUGUAGAUGAAGAAACAGGCCCAAGAGGUGAGGAGUGUUGUCCAGGUCUUCUGGCCAGAGGAGCGGCAGAGAUGGGAUUUCAACCCUGGGACUGUGUGGCUUGUGACCACUCCUAGCUUCAGCCCUGCCCGGUGCUGAGGGGUUUGGGGCCAGAACGAUGGCCAGAUGUUUGGGCACACUGGGCCCUACCCACCUGGAAAGAGGCUGGCCUGGGGUUGAAUGAGAACCAGAAGUGACUCAGGCUAGGACCCCUCUGCACCCUCCCUCAGGCCGUGGGUAAUUACCUGCCCAGGUUAAUAGCGCCCACUUCCCGCCACCUUUCAUCAAGGCUCCUGGAGCUGCCAGGCAGUAAUUAACCCUCACAGCACCCUUCUGAAGUCAGCACUGGAGGCAGACGUGUGAUGAAACACGUUUAUUACAGGAAGCACCAGUUAGCCCAGAUGCUUCUCAUCUUUGGAGUUGAGCUGCAGGCUGGAGACCUGGAAGGCCCUCGCAGCGCCUGCUCCCAUCCUCUCACCUCACGAAAGCGCAGGAAUCUCCAUGAGGGCAGGGGAUUUUGUCUGUUUCAUUCACAAUGUGUUCCCAGAGCUCAGCACAGUGUCAGGCACACACUAGGAUGGCCUGGGCAUGAGUUUCUUCAAGGACUCGGGUAGCAGUGAAAUCCCUGGGACCCUAGCCUCAGUACCUCCCCAGGCAAUGGGGUAGAGAGCAAGAAGGCAGGUGAGCAAGGACCAGCCUCCGCCACGCAGACACCCUCUUUCCGGCUUCUCUGUCCUCCUACUUUGCCCUGGGUUUGUGGACUUACUCUGGGCAGAUCUCCACGACCAACCACCCCCUCCCUUGGCAUGUCUGUCAGCACCCUUGGGGGAAAGAAUUUGGAAAGGGGAGGGAGAAAAAGAAAGCAGGGUGCGAGGGGCUGGUUCCCACACCUGUGUAAAUAAUUUGUCAUCUUAAAAUGCUCAAGUAUGCUCACCUUUAA